UCUGGUUGAUCCUGCCUGAACUGAUGUGUUCAUUUCAAAGAUUAAGCCAUGCAUGUAUAAGUUUAAUCGUUUUAACGAGAAACCGCGAACGGCUCAUUACAAUGGCCAUGAUUUACUUGAUCUUGAUUAUCUAAAUGGAUAACUGUGGAAAAGCUAGAGCUAAUACAUGCACCAAAGCUUUGUCCUCUCGGAAAAGCGCAUUUAUUAGAACAAAACCACGCGGCUUCGGCUGCUUCUUGUUGACUCAGAAUAACUAAGCUGACCGCAUGGCCUUGUGCCGGCGGCGUGUCUUUCAAGCGUCCACUUUAUCAACUUGACGGGAGCAUAAUCGACUCCCGUGGUGGUGACGGAUAACGGAGGAUCAGGGUUCGACUCCGGAGAAGGGGCCUGAGAAAUGGCCACUACGUCUAAGGAUGGCAGCAGGCGCGCAAAUUACCCACUCUCGGCUCGAGGAGGUAGUGACGAGAAAUAACGAGAUCGUUCUCUUUGAGGCCGGUCAUCGGAAUGGGUACAAUUUAAACCCUUUAACGAGUAUCAAGCAGAGGGCAAGUCUGGUGCCAGCAGCCGCGGUAAUUCCAGCUCUGCUAAUACAUAGAAUUAUUGCUGCGGUUAAAAAGCUCGUAGUUGGAUUCGUAUCGGUACCCUGGAACCCUCCGGGUGUUUCUGGGUGUUGUCGAUUUAUCGUAAUGUUCGGUUUUGAGUCCUUAACAGGAUUCUUAACAGGCAUUGCAAGUUUACUUUGAACAAAUCAGAGUGCUUCAAACAGGCGUUUUCGCUUGAAUGAUCGUGCAUGGAAUAAUAGAAAACGAUUUCGGUUCAGUUUUAUUGGUUUUACGGACUGAGAUAAUGGUUAACAGAGACAAACGGGGGCAUUUGUAUGGCCCCGUGAGAGGUGAAAUUCUUGGACCGUGGCCAGACAAACUACAGCGAAAGCAUUUGCCAAGAAUGUCUUCAUUAAUCAAGAACGAAAGUUGUGUCCCGUGUGCUCCACAUGAGCCGUGAAAAUGCGAGGGAGGCAAUUUAAAAUCUCCUGCCUGAUCGUACCCAUAUCCGCAGCAGGUCUCCAAGGUGAACAGCCUCUAGUCGAUAGAAUAAUGUAGGUAAGGGAAGUCGGCAAAUUAGAUUCGUAACUUCGGGAAAAGAAUUGGCUCUAAAGGUUGAGUCAGUCGGGCUGUUGUGUGAAACAGGUGGACUUUGCUCGUGGCUGCUUGAGCUUCCUUACGGGGCGGCGCUUGUGGACUAGUAGUGAGGACUGCUUGUGGAGUGCUUCAGCUGCGUGCUAUUUCGCAAGAUAUAGUACUUCGAUUGGCGCUGAACAACCAGUUUAGAACUGGCACGAACUCCGGGAAUCCGACUGUCUAAUUAAAACAGAGGAGACGGAUGGUCCUUGCAGGACGUUGACCGUGUCUGAUUUCUGCCCAGUGCUCUGAAUG
rnacentral:rRNA from 1 species